AGCCAUGCAUGUGUAGUAUAAAUAAGUAUACUUUGAAACUGCGAACGGCUCAUUAUAUCAGUUAUGAUUCAUUAGAUGUAGAGUUACAUGUGGACACCCGUAGUAAUUCUAGAGCUAAUACAUGGUGGAAUCCUUCUAAGGUGUGUUCAUUACGAUGAAAACCAUAGACUCCUACUAGCUGUGCAGUAAUAAUAGCUGUGCGGAUCGCGUACCAAGGUGGGUUUUUUAAGUCUUUCAAGUAACUGCCCUAUCAAGGUGCGAUGGUAGUGUCUUGGACUACCAUGGCAGUAACGGGUGACGGAAAAUUAUUGUUCGAUUUCGGAGAAGGAGCCGGAGAGGGCUGCUACAUCUAAGGAGGGCAGCAGGCGCGUAAAUUACCCACUGGGGACAUCCCGACGUAGUGACGAGACGUUGAGGAACUACCUUUGGUUGCUACAUCUCUGAUUGUGUACAAGAGUUACGAUAAACUUAAUGGAGGGCAAGUCUGGUGCCAGCAGCCGCGGUAAUUCCAGCUCCAAUAGCGUAUAUUAACGUU
rnacentral:rRNA from 1 species